rnacentral:rRNA from 1 species
GCCAGACUCCUACGGGAGGCAGCAGUGGGGGAUAUUGCACAAUGGGGGAAACCCUGAUGCAGCGAUGCCGCGUGAAUGAAGACGGCCUUCGGGUUGUAAAGUUCUGUCGCAGGGGACGAAAAUGACGGUACCCUGCAAGAAAGCUCCGGCUAACUACGUGCCAGCAGCCGCGGUAAUACGUAGGGAGCAAGCGUUGUCCGGAAUUACUGGGUGUAAAGGGAGCGUAGACGGCAAUACAAGUCGGAAGUGAAAUACCCGGGCUCAACCUGGGAACUGCUUUGGAAACUGUAUGGCUAGAGUGCUGGAGAGGUAAGCGGAAUUCCUAGUGUAGCGGUGAAAUGCGUAGAUAUUAGGAGGAACACCAGUGGCGAAGGCGGCCUGCUGGACCGUAACUGACGUUGAGGCUCGAAAGCUGGGGGAGCGAACAGGAUUAGAUACCCUCGUAGU